GUUUGUAGGUGAAGGAGGUGGAAGAUGAUUGUAACGAUCUCAAGUCGAAGACCUACCUGGUGAUUUGAUUCAGGUCCAUUCCGCUCUGACUCUGCGUAGGAGGCAAAGGAAAAAGUGAUAAAUCUCAUCUUCAGCACAGCUCACACGGCAGUUUAUACCAAUACUUUCCAAUGCCAUGCAUGUUACACAUCUGUACUAAAGGAGUAAUUAUUUAUCCAAAAUAAGCAAAACAAAUCCUACCUGUGCCUUCCAUCGGUGAGUCAGCCCCGACUUUCUCAACCUCUGCUGGCUUUGACAUCCUGAUAUCUGUGGCAGAAACGACAGAAGUCAAAUGUGUCACGGAAGAAGUUCAAGAAGCAAAAGAUGAGGGAAGGGACGGAGAAAAAAGGAACACCAAGGCCACUAAACUGUGGCCACUCACUGCGACCUGCUGGUCAGCAGCAGCUGUGACAUCACCGGCCACUGCUCUCCGCUUGGAUUGGACACUCGGCCACGUUGCCAGGCAACAGCAGCAAAAGGUCU